CACGAAACACAGGAACAAAAUGAAUCUGGAGAGUUUGAUCCUGGCUCAGAACGAACGCUGGCGGCGUGCCUAACACAUGCAAGUCCAACGUGAAAGGGGAGCAAUCCCCCGGUAGGGUGGCAAACGGGUGAGUAAUACAUGGGUGAUCUACCUUAGGGAUGGGGAUAUCCUUCCGAAAGGAGGGGCAAUACCGAAUAUUGUCCGGAGCCGUGAAGGGUUCCGGGGAAAGGGAGGCCUCUGAUACAAGCUUUCGCCUUAAGAUGAGCCCAUGGCCCAUCAGCUAGUUGGUAGGGUAAAGGCCUACCAAGGCUACGACGGGUCGCUGGUCUGAGAGGACGACCAGCCACACUGGCACUGAGAUACGGGCCAGACUCCUACGGGAGGCAGCAGUGAGGAAUAUUGCGCAAUGGGGGAAACCCUGACGCAGCAACGCCGCGUGUGGGAAGAAGGCCUUCGGGUCGUAAACCACUUUUGCACGGGACGAAAAAGG
rnacentral:rRNA from 1 species